AGCGAACGCUGGCGGCAGGCCUAACACAUGCAAGUCGAACGGACCCUUCGGGGUUAGUGGCGGACGGGUGAGUAACACGUGGGAACGUGCCUUUAGGUUCGGAAUAGCUCCUGGAAACGGGUGGUAAUGCCGAAUGUGCCCUUCGGGGGAAAGAUUUAUCGCCUUUAGAGCGGCCCGCGUCUGAUUAGCUAGUUGGUGAGGAAAUGGCUCACCAAGGCUACGAUCAGUAGCUGGUCUGAGCGGAUGACCAGCCACAUUGGGACUGAGACACGGCCCAAACUCCUACGGGAGGCAGCAGUGGGGAAUCUUGCGCAAUGGGCGAAAGCCUGACGCAGCCAUGCCGCGUGGAUGAUGAAGGUCUUAGGAUUGUAAAAUCCUUUCACCGGUGAAGAUAAUGACUGUAGCCGGAGAAGAAGCCCCGGCUAACUUCGUGCCAGCCGCCGCAGUAAGAC
rnacentral:rRNA from 1 species